AUUGAACGCUGGCGGCAUGCCUUACACAUGCAAGUCGAACGGCAGCACGGGAGCUUGCUCCUGGUGGCGAGUGGCGAACGGGUGAGUAAUACAUCGGAACGUACCCAGGAGUGGGGGAUAACGUAGCGAAAGUUACGCUAAUACCGCAUAUUCUGUGAGCAGGAAAGCGGGGGAUCGCAAGACCUCGCGCUCUUGGAGCGGCCGAUGUCGGCUUAGCUAGUUGGUGAGGUAAAAGCGCACCAAGGCGACGAUCCGUAGCAGGUAUGAGAGGAUGCUCUGCCAGACUGGGACUGAGACACGACCCAGGCUCCUACGGGAGGCAGCAGUGAGGAAUUUUGGACAAGGGGGGCAAGCCUGGUCCAGCCAUGCCGCGUGAGUGAAGAAGGCCUUGUGGUUGUAAGGCUCUUUCGUCGGGGAAGAAAUGGCAACGGCUAGUAUCCGUUGUUGAUGACGGUACCCGCAUAAGAAGCACCGGCUAACUACGUGCCAGCCGCCGCCGUAACAC
rnacentral:rRNA from 1 species